rnacentral:tRNA from 1 species
GGGAGAGUGGCCGAGCGGUUGAUGGCAGCGGUCUUGAAAACCGUCGAAGGGUAAAAGCUUCCGGGGGUUCGAAUCCCUCCUCUCCCG